UACGGAGGGUGCAAGCGUUAUCCGGAUUCACUGGGUUUAAAGGGUGCGUAGGUGGGCAGGUAAGUCAGUGGUGAAAUCUCCGGGCUUAACUCGGAAACUGCCAUUGAUACUAUCUUUCUUGAGUACCGUGGAGGUCAGCGGAAUAUGUCAUGUAGCGGUGAAAUGCUUAGAUAUGACAUAGAACACCAAUUGCGAAGGCAGCUGGCUACACGAAUAUUGACACUGAUGCACGAAAGCGUGGGGAUCAAACAGG
rnacentral:rRNA from 1 species